UAGGGAGAUUGAAUUCCUGGGUAGCGGUGAAUGGCAGAAUCAGGAGGACCCCGAUGGCGAAGCAGAUCUCUGGCCGUAACUGACGCUGGGAGCGAAGGCAUGGGAGCGAACAGGAUUAGAUACCCUGGUAGUCCAUGCCGUAACGUUGGGGAACUAGAUGUAGGGGCCAUUCCACGGUUUUUGUGUCGCAGCUAACGCAUUAAGUUCCCCGCCUGGGGAGUACGGCCGCAAGGCUAAAACUCAAAGGAAUUGACGGGGGCCCGCACAAGCGGCGGAGCAUGCGGAUUAAUUCGAUGCAACGCGAAGAACCUUACCAAGGCUUGACAUAUACCGGAAACGUCCAGAGAUGGUCGCCCCGCAAGGUCGGUAUACAGGUGGUGCAUGGUUGUCGUCAGCUCGUGUCGUGAGAUGUUGGGUUAAGUCCCGCAACGAGCGCAACCCUCGUUCUAUGUUGCCAGCACGUUAUGGUGGGAACUCAUAGGAGACUGCCGGGGUCAACUCGGAGGAAGGUGGGGAUGACGUCAAAUCAUCAUGCCCCUUA
rnacentral:rRNA from 1 species